GAUGAACGCUAGCGGCAGGCCUAAUACAUGCAAGUCGGACGGGAUCCAUCGGAGAGCUUGCUCGAAGAUGGUGAGAGUGGCGCACGGGUGCGUAACGCGUGAGCAACCUACCUCUAUCAGGGGGAUAGCCUCUCGAAAGAGAGAUUAACACCGCAUAAUAUAAUCUUCCGGCAUCGUUAGAUUAUUAAAUAUUUAUAGGAUAGAGAUGGGCUCGCGUGACAUUAGCUAGUUGGUAAGGUAACGGCUUACCAAGGCGACGAUGUCUAGGGGCUCUGAGAGGAGAAUCCCCCACACUGGUACUGAGACACGGACCAGACUCCUACGGGAGGCAGCAGUAAGGAAUAUUGGUCAAUGGGCGAGAGCCUGAACCAGCCAAAUCGCGUGAAGGAAGACUGCCCUACGGGUUGUAAACUUCUUUUAUACAGGAAUAAAAAGAGGGACGUGUCCCUCAUUGCAUGUACUGUAUGAAUAAGCAUCGGCUAACUCCGUGCCAGCAGCCGCAGUAACAC
rnacentral:rRNA from 1 species